UCUCGCAUCAGUGCUGUUUGAUGAGGUCUGCUGGUGGUUGGCAAAAUGGACUGAGGAACCAUUAUGAAUGCUGUCGUCUGCAUAGAGGUGGAUCAGAGAAUCACCAGCAGCAAGAGCGACAUCAUUGAUGUAUACAGAGAAGAGAGUCGGCCCAAGAAAGGAACCCUGUUGCACCCCCAUAAAGACUGACAGUGGUCCGGACAACAGACCCUCCGAUUUGACACACUGAACUCUAUCAGAGAAGUAGUUGGUGAACCAGGCGAGGCAAACAUUUGAGAAAUGUUGAUAUAGAUUUUGAAAUUGAUAGAACCCUCACAAAAACACAUGGAACAACUGCGAAAAGAAAUGGCUGAGGAUAUAUUAAACAAUGUCUGGUAUGUAAUGACAUUUAAUUCAAAGUAAAUGUAAAUGCUUUAUUUUAAUGUAGUUGUGUAGGACAGCCAUAUGUUCAUGAUUUCAGAGUUCAAGGCCAACAACUGCUUCAUGUGUGACACUGAUAAAGAACCUGGAUGUGGCCCAAAGACUGACUGGAUUGAAUGGUAUGCAUGACUACGGUGGUUCCAUGUGCUGUGUCUAGGAAUGAAGACAAGAGUUCAGAGUGAAGAACACAAACUGGAAGGGAUGUCUUUGUUGUUGAAAAUGUAUGCUAUACCCCAUCCACACUGAAGAGGCUCGGAAAUGUACAUCAACCAGGGAUAAAGAGAACACUGAAAUGUUUUGUACUUAUUUGAAGUAAAGCGUCUGACAUAUUGUAGACUUUUAAUCUUUUCCAACUUCUGUUUAAUUUGUCAAUAUCCCAUUUUUCUUCAUUGAUUUUCUGGCCACCAUUACUGCGGUUACAUGUUCAGUAUUUGUAUUGACCAGCAAACCCACAUUACUCUCCAUCCCGGCUUUGGACAAUUAAUAAAACAUGACUCUCGUACUUUGCCCUUUAUGGUUGAUAUUAACGAUGAGAGAGAUAAUAUCUCCUUUCUCCUAUUGUGUACCACUGUUAAAUAGUGUAAAAAAAAAAAGUUAAAAAAGAGAAAUUAUGUACUUAGAACUACCAAUUAUUAUAGAUAAAUAUUAAAGAAAAGGGUUAACACAACACUGGACUGAACCCCCUAAAUUGUCAAAGUAAUAUUAAUGUACAACAAUAUAGAAGAUACAUGACUAGAGGUUAUGCAAUAUGGGUGUAUAUCCACUGCAUGCUUCUUAGGUGUGUAAUUGACAUGCCAAAGGAGCUAUUGAAAUGUACAUUUUUCAUAGUUUUACGUUACACUGCGUGAUUUUACAGUACACAAACAAGAGUGUGCAAUAUAUAAGGCUAGUCUGAACAUACUGAAGUUUGAGUCCAGCAGGUCACAUGACCAAUGAGCUAUUGAAAUUCAAAUGUAAAAAAAAAAGUUUACUUUGUUUACACUCCAUAACUAAUUCAACUAGGAAUACAAAAUGCAGCUCACAUUUCCACAUGUUCAUUAGCCUUCGAAAGUGAAUUAAUGUCCAAAUCGUGGCUUAUUUGGAGUCUGUGGCGCAAGCGGUUUGAAAGCGUGAAUAUCCAACUUGAAACUGUCUCUCAGUUUGCAGUGAGGGGUUUAAGCAGGUGUGUAGUGCUAUGGCAAAAGCAUGCACCCCUUUGGUCCCCAAGACCUGGAUUAACAAACACAGAUUGGAUUCUAUCUUUGGGUGGUCUAUUUCUAUGAGAUAGUAGCCUAGAGUCUACUACAGACACAGUAAAGAAAGGUUGAGAUGCCACCAAGAUAUACAAGGGCUCUAAAAUACAUCGAUACUAGGGUGGAAACCAAAUAUGGGGGCACCAUGUUGGUCAGAAAGAGAUAUACAAACACAAAAAAAAAAUCCAAAACACUGUUCUAAUCACAAUGGAGAGAAUUAUUAAUACGCUGAUAUGUAAAUUGUAAUGCUUGCAUGACCUCAGGAUACCAACAGAUUCAGUAAUUGUGAAGAACUUUGAUCUCAGUUCCAAACAAAAAGGAUGCACCCAAAGAUUAGUAUACCCUUUAAUCUGUGGCACCCCUCUGCAAUACAGGUAGUGUUUUUCAUGUUCAUAAGAUGGCAGCAUUGGGCUAGCUAGGCUUAAGCUUUUGAAGCAUUAAUAAUACAUUCAACUGGAUGGUGGAUCAGAAAACUUGGUGAUAAUACACAAUAACCAAUGCGUGCACAAUGUUCAGAAGUGGACACAUAGUGGAUACACCUCGUAGUGAUUAUAAUUGGCACCCAAGGGUCAUAACAGUGAUGAAUAUGAUUGAGGUAGUCAGUGCCACAACAACCAACCACAGGAUCAAGCAACUUCUCUAAAAAUUCAUACUUCUUCAAUUUCAAGAAUGUAAUGUUCCUUUUCCAUUUAAACCUGCUCAUGUUGCAAUUUCUGACCACAUUAUUCUCUGGUAUUUCAAUGACCUUGUCUUGUGCUAUGGUAACCAUGUUUACAAAUGCCAUUGCAACCCCUUGGAAGAACACCAGUGUUGGUUUAAAAAAAUAAAAAAUAAUUUAAAGCACAACUGACCACUGAGUUAAUAGUUUUGGAGCGAUGGCUGCUGUAAACAUAUUAGUUACUGUGAUACAAGCCACCUUGAAUUUGGCUAUAAAUAACAAUUUACAUUAGCUAAUUAGUGGGGAGAACAAGUACUUGAUAACCUGCAAAAUCGGCAGUGUUUCCUACUUACAAAGCAUGUAGAGGUCUGUAAUUUUUAUCAUAGGUACACUUUAACGGUGAGAGACGGAAUCUAAAACAAAAAUCCAGAAGAAAAAAAAUCAUACAAUGUGAUUUAAGUAAUUAAUUUGCAUUUUAUUGCAUGGCGUAAGUAUUUGAUCACCUACCAACCAGUAAGAAUUCCAGCUCUCACAGACCCGUUAGUUUUUCCUUUAAGAAGCCCUCCUGUUCUCCACUCAUUACCUGUAUUAACUGCACCUGUUUGAACUCGUUACCUGUAUAAAAGACACCUGUUCACACACUCAAUCAAACAGACUCCAACCUCUCCACAAUGGCCAAGAUCAGAGAGCUGUGUAAGGACAUCAGGGAUACAAUUGUAGACCUGCACAAGGCUGGGAUGGGCUACAGGACAAUAGGCAAGCAGGUUGGUGAGAAGGCAACAACUGUUGGCGCAAUUAUUAGAAAAUGGAAGAAGUUCAAGAUGACGGUCAAUCACCCUCGGUCUGGGGCUCCAUGCAAGAUCUCACCUCAUGGGGCAUCAAUGAUCAUGAGGAAGGUGAGGGAUCAGCCCAGAACUACACGACAGGACCUGGUCAAUGACCUGAAGAGAGCUGGGACCACAGUCUCAAAGAAAACCAUUAGUAACACACUACGCCGUCAAUGAUUAAAAUCCUGCAGCGCACGCAAGGUCCCCCUGCUCAAGCCAGCACAUGUCCAGGUCCACCUGAAGUUUGCCAAUGACCAUCUGGAUGAUCCAGAGGAGGAAUGGGAGAAGGUGAUGGACAAAAAGAGCUUUCUGGUCUAAACUCCACCUGCCGUGUUUGGGGGAAGAAGGAUGAGUACAACACCAUCCCAACCGUGAAGCAUGGAGGUGGAAACAUCAUUCUUUGGGGAUGCUUUUCUUCAAAGGGGACAGGAUGACUGCACCGUAUUGAGGGGGGGGGGAUGGAUGGGGCCAUGCAUCGCGAGAUCUUGGCCAACAAUCUCCUUCCCUCAGUAAGAGCAUUGAAGAUGGGUCGUGGCUGGGUCUUAAUAAUUACUAAUAUCAUACAAUGUGAUUUUCUGGAUUUUUGUUUUAGAUUCCGUCUUUCACAGUUGACCUGUGUGUACCUAUGAUAAAAAUUAGACCUCUACAUGCUUUGCAAGUCGGAAAACCUGCAAAAAUCGGCUGUGUAUCAAAUACUUGUUCUCCCCACUGUAUAUAUUGACAAUGUUUUAACCAUUUCUAAGUCUUAAGAAAAAUCUAUUUUGAGCAAAGCAAGUUGUGGCUCCUUUUAGGUGAACACAUUCACUCAAAUGUUGUGUCAAAGCAUUACAGGCAUCUUCUCUCAAAUGCCCUGACUGGCUAUGAUAGGUACAUUUACAAUACAUGCCAUGCCUUCUGUUUAUGCAAUAGACCAUGGUUAGUGGGAAGGAAGAGGAAGCAUUUCAGAUUUCAAAAGAAUGACCAUCCUAAAAAAAUAAAGACUACGGCAUCCCUGUAAACAACUAACUUGCCAUGUCAAAGCAUGAGACAGGUUGCUACUCAGACUGUCCACUAUGACAAUAAACGCACAGUAAAUACUGUGGAGGUUUUUCCAUGGCCUUCUUAUGGAUACUGCAUGUGCCUUACACACACUAAAUGCAGCUCUGCUACCCUUGUUGAGCAAAUGACAUUCAAACCUGCCCUGAAAGACUUUUGCCAUUUUAGAAUGAUUGUGUUGUGCAUGCUGUAGUUGUAUUUACAUUAUCUAACCAGUCCAACCUGAUAUAAAUCUUAUGUCAGCAUCAAUCUGGUUUAGAACAGGUUUUGAAUUCCAACAGUAAGCUUUAGCCACUACGGAAAUUCCUUGAUGUCUCAACCUGCCAGGUAGGCUUCCUGGCAAGCCCACCUGUCAUUCAUAAUCAGAGUCAAACCAUUGGCUUAGCAGUGCCCUAUGAGAAACGGAAGCAGUGAAAACACAAUUUGUACAAAGUUGACAGUCUUGCAUUUGGUGCAGUUGUAACUCCACAGUGAGGCAGUUUUCCAGGACAUUAUGAGGAUAUAAUGCAAGGACCUUCUACACUACAUUGUAUCAUGAACAGAAAGUGGGUCUAACACAACCCUUCCCACAUCUCAGCUGUGAUACACACUGAGUAUACCAAACAUUAGGAACAUUUCCUAAUAUUGAGUAACAACCCCCAUGAAAAACCCAGUAGCGUUGCAGUUCUUGACCCAAACCAAUGCAUGCACCUGGGACCUACCUGGUUCAAAGGCACUUACAUAUUUUGUCUAGCCCAUUCACCCUCUGAAUAGCACACAUACACAAUCCAUCCUGCCCUGCCUAUCUAAGGUCUUCGAAAGCCAAGUCAACAAACAGGUCUCUGACCAUCUCGAAUCCCACCGUACCUUCUCCGCUGUGCAAUCUGGUUUCCGAGCCGGUCACGGGUGCACCUCAGCCACACUCAAGGUACUAAACGAUAUCAUAACCACCAUUGAUAAAAGACAGUACUGUGCAGCCGUCUUCAUCGACCUUGCCAAGGCUUUCGACUCUGUCAAUCACCAUAUUCUUAUCGGCAGACUCAGUAGCCUUG